UCCAACCAGCCCCAGCCACACUUCCUAGCAUGUAGUGUUAUCAUCAUGACAUGGCUAAAGAAUCCACAACGAAACACACAUCCGUGGCACAGAUGUGGCCCACCACUACCUGCCUACAUCAAACAAAUCUGCCGUACUCCGAUAGCCAUAUCGGAGUACGACAGCGUCUUGAUGCCCCACGUAAAACACAUAAGAGCCCCGACCCUAGCCCCCAUCUUACCUCCAUUCCCGGCUGGACGUCGGCCCCAUCUUCCGAGGCCUGCUGCACGUGCAGCACAUGGAUGGGAACAUGACAAUUAGGGCAGGCACGUCAAUGGCGGAGGCAAAACAUACACGCCCCCCUCCCCCAACCAGCCCCAGCCACCCUCCAUAGCAUCAGGAACAAGAAAGAGGGCAACGGGUAACGAAUCCACAACGAAACACACAAACGUGGCACAGAUGUGGCCCACCACUACCUGCCUACAUCAAACAAAUCUGCCGUACUCCGAUAGCCAUAUCGGAGUACGACAGCGUCUUGAUGCCCCACAUAAAACACAUAAGAGCCCCGACCCUCGCCCCCAUCUUACCUCCAUUCCCGGCUGGACGUUGGCCCCUCUUCCGAGGCCUGCUGCACGUGCAGCACAUGGAUGGGAACAUGACAAUUAGCAUCAGGAACAAGAAAGAGGGCAACGGGUAACGAUUCCACAACGAAACACACAAACGUGGCACAGAUGUGGCCCACCACUACCUGCCUACAUCAAACAAAUCUGCCGUACUCCGAUAGCCAUAUCGGAGUACGACAGCGUCUUGAUGCCCCACGUAAACCACAUAAGAGCCCCGACCCUCGCCCCCAUCUUACCUCCAUUCCCGGCUGGACGUCGGCCCCAUCUUCCGAGGCCUGCUGCACGUGCAGCACAUGGAUGGGAACAUGACAAUUANNNNNNNNNNNNNNNNNNNNNNNNNNNNNNNNNNNNNNNNNNNNNNNNNNNNNNNNNNNNNNNNNNNNNNNNNNNNNNNNNNNNNNNNNNNNNNNNNNNNNNNNNNNNNNNNNNNNNNNNNNNNNNNNNNNNNNNNNNNNNNNNNNNNNNNNNNNNNNNNNNNNNNNNNNNNNUCGGGGGCCUGGGAGCUUGGGAGCCUGGGAGCCUGGGAUCCUGGGGGCUUGGGGGCCUGGGACCUUGGGAGCCUGGGAGCUUGAGAGCUUGGGAGCCUGGGGGCCUGGGAGCCGGGGGCCUGGGAGCCUGGGAGCCUGGGAGCUUGGGAGCCUGGGGGCCUGGGAGCCUGGGAGCCUGGGAGCCUGGGAGCCUGGAAGCCUGGGAGCCUGGGAGCUUGGGAGCCUGGGGGCCUGGGAGCCUGGGGGCCUGGGAGCCUGAGGGGCCUGGGAGCCGGGGGCCUGGAAGCCUGUAGGCCUGGGGGCCUGGGGGUUUGGGGGUGACACAACCAUGAAAUGGUGGUAUCGAAAGAUACCGGUUGAGGCAAGUGAAUUGAAUAAUAAUCAUUAUAGAAUCCACUUGGGCCUCAUGCCAAUAAGUUCCAGUACGGCUGGGUGGUGUGAUGUUGACCAUAGUUCGCAGGAACUACUCUCGCCUCAUGAAGCAGACAUCCAGGAAGGCAGGUUCCAGCUUUAGACAGGUAAAGCCCCUGCCCAGACGCCAGUAUGGACUUCUGCAGCAGUGCGGCAGUAGGGUGGACAGACCGGCAUCUGACAGUUAGACAACAGAGCCUAGAGCUUAACAGUAAGCUUAACAGGAUACAACACCUGGAGCCCCAACCCUCCCUUCCAUCUCACCUCCCUGAGUGAAACCCAUUCCCCCUCCCUGUCACCACCCUCCUAAAUGAAAACUUCGGCUGCAGCCCCACUAUCGGAGGUUGGCUGCACUUGCUGCACAUGUAUGAGAGCAUGAGAAUUAAAGCAGGCACUGCAAAGACAGUGCUGACACAUACACACCCAACUCCUCCAACCAGCCCCAGCCACACUUCCUAGCAUGUAGUGUUAUCAUCAUGACAUGGGUAACGAUUCCACAACGAAACACACAAACGUGGCACAGAUGUGGCCCACCACUACCUGCCUACAUCAAACAAAUCUGCCGUACUCCGAUAGCCAUAUCGGAGUACGACAGCGUCUUGAUGCCCCACGUAAAACACAUAAGAGCCCCGACCCUCGCCCCCAUCUUACCUCCAUUCCCGGCUGGACGUCGGCCCCAUCUUCCGAGGCCUGCUGCACGUGCAGCACAUGGAUGGGAACAUGACAAUUAGGGCAGGCACGUCAAUGGCGGAGGCAAAACAUACACGCCCCCCUCCCCCAACCAGCCCCAGCCACCCUCCAUAGCAUCAGGAACAAGAAAGAGGGCAACGGGUAACGAAUCCACAACGAAACACACAAACGUGGCACAGAUGUGGCCCACCACUACCUGCCUACAUCAAACAAAUCUGCCGUACUCCGAUAGCCAUAUCGGAGUACGACAGCGUCUUGAUGCCCCACAUAAAACACAUAAGAGCCCCGACCCUCGCCCCCAUCUUACCUCCAUUCCCGGCUGGACGUUGGCCCCUCUUCCGAGGCCUGCUGCACGUGCAGCACAUGGAUGGGAACAUGACAAUUAGCAUCAGGAACAAGAAAGAGGGCAACGGGUAACGAUUCCACAACGAAACACACAAACGUGGCACAGAUGUGGCCCACCACUACCUGCCUACAUCAAACAAAUCUGCCGUACUCCGAUAGCCAUAUCGGAGUACGACAGCGUCUUGAUGCCCCACAUAAAACACAUAAGAGCCCCGACCCUCGCCCCCAUCUUACCUCCAUUCCCGGCUGGACGUCGGCCCCUCUUCCGAGGCCUGCUGCACGUGCAGCACAUGGAUGGGAACAUGACAAUUAGCAUCAGGAACAAGAAAGAGGGCAACGGGUAACGAUUCCACAACGAAACACACAAACGUGGCACAGAUGUGGCCCACCACUACCUGCCUACAUCAAACAAAUCUGCCGUACUCCGAUAGCCAUAUCGGAGUACGACAGCGUCUUGAUGCCCGACAUAAAACACAUAAGAGCCCCGACCCUCGCCCCCAUCUUACCUCCAUUCCCGGCUGGACGUUGGCCCCUCUUCCGAGGCCUGCUGCACGUGCAGCACAUGGAUGGGAACAUGACAAUUAGCAUCAGGAACAAGAAAGAGGGCAACGGGUAACGAUUCCACAACGAAACACACAAACGUGGCACAGAUGUGGCCCACCACUACCUGCCUACAUCAAACAAAUCUGCCGUACUCCGAUAGCCAUAUCGGAGUACGACAGCGUCUUGAUGCCCCACGUAAAACACAUAAGAGCCCCGACCCUCGCCCCCAUCUUACCUCCAUUCCCGGCUGGACGUCGGCCCCAUCUUCCGAGGCCUGCUGCACGUGCAGCACAUGGAUGGGAACAUGACAAUUAGCAUCAGGAACAAGAAAGAGGGCAACGGGUAACGAUUCCACAACGAAACACACAAACGUGGCACAGAUGUGGCCCACCACUACCUGCCUACAUCAAACAAAUCUGCCGUACUCCGAUAGCCAUAUCGGAGUACGACAGCGUCUUGAUGCCCCACGUAAAACACAUAAGAGCCCGACCCUCGCCCCCAUCUUACCUCCAUUCCCGGCUGGACGUCGGCCCCAUCUUCCGAGGCCUGCUGCACGUGCAGCACAUGGAUGGGAACAUGACAAUUAGCAUCAGGAACAAGAAAGAGGGCAACGGGUAACGAUUCCACAACGAAACACACAAACGUGGCACAGAUGUGGCCCACCACUACCUGCCUACAUGAAACAAAUCUGCCGUACUCCGAUAGCCAUAUCGGAGUACGACAGCGUCUUGAUGCCCCACGUAAAACACAUAAGAGCCCGACCCUCGCCCCCAUCUUACCUCCAUUCCCGGCUGGACGUCGGCCCCAUCUUCCGAGGCCUGCUGCACGUGCAGCACAUGGAUGGGAACAUGACAAUUAGCAUCAGGAACAAGAAAGAGGGCAACGGGUAACGAAUCCACAACGAAACACACAAACGUGGCACAGAUGUGGCCCACCACUACCUGCCUACAUCAAACAAAUCUGCCGUACUCCGAUAGCCAUAUCGGAGUACGACAGCGUCUUGAUGCCCCACGUAAAACACAUAAGAGCCCCGACCCUCGCCCCCAUCUUACCUCCAUUCCCGGCUGGACGUUGGCCCCAUCUUCCGAGGCCUGCUGCACGUGCAGCACAUGGAUGGGAACAUGACAAUUAGCAUCAGGAACAAGAAAGAGGGCAACGGGUAACGAUUCCACAACGAAACGCACAACCGUGGCACAGAUGUGGCCCACCACUACCUGCCUACAUUGGGACAUUGGACAUUGAAGCCAUAAUAGCCAAAGCCGUACAUGAGCGGUUAUGUCAGCCAAUUGCAUGGAAACCUCGUCGGUCGUAAUUUUGUUCAGUAAACCUGACAAGGUUUUAAAUGAUUUCGGCCGACUUUCGGAUAUUGUGGCAUGGACCCACUACAUUGGCGGACCUGGUCGACCAGGUCGAUCAACGUCGGCCUCGGGUAACCUUGCCUAUGUACUUAUUUGUUCAUCAACUAUAUUAUACUUUGUGCUGGAACAAUCGGCGUUCCUUUGGGCCAUGACCAUGACUACCAAUGGUCAUGUUACAUCGGAGCACCAAAACAAGUGGCAAACACCCUAAGUAACCUAAAUUUCACUUAUGAUAAGUUCACCGGCUAUAUUCAUGCUUCCCAAUGUGCUUUCGGGGCUGCACGUCAAAAGUAACCUCGUCCAGACAACCGUCCCGUAGCUGCUGAGCCUUGGGCGCUACACGUCUCUGGACUGCCAAAUGGCCGUAGGUAGGGAGCAAAUCGUAAGGACAAAUAAUGCCUCCCUACACUCAUAUUUGAUGGCAAACAUGUUAACUAACCUCGUCAUAACAUUUCACACACUCAGCGCGCAUAUCUGUGCCUAAUUAUGACACUUUCAAGGUUGCACAUUUAUCAAGCUUCUAGCUGGCGAGUAACCUGUCCAGACAACUGCCCCGUAGCUACCGAGCCUGACGAGUUACACGUCUCCGGACUGCCAUAGGGUUGCAUGGUACACAUGCAUACCCUUGUGCAAGGGUACACAUUUAGUGCUAAACAUACCAUACCAUGCAUUCCACCGAUACCGUGAUAGCGAUGAUAAGCAUGUAUCUCACCAGGCGAGAGCAAAUAAAACGUGCCUCUAUGGCGAUGGGGAGUCGAAGGCAACGUUGAGUUAACUCUGCAGUAGCUGGUACAUAGAUUGCACACAUCAUUUACAAAUACAGCUAAUGAUAUUCAGAGCCAUAUUUAACGUCCAGCUACUACAAUGGUAUGAAGACCUCAGGUGUAAGGCUCACACAUGGUUGCGAUCUGCAUGUUGCCAGCUGGCAGCUGCCAACUGCAGUUCUGUGCUCCUGUCUCCCUUAACCGUAUUCUCAUGGCUAUGUCGACUCGAACAUGCUGGCUGACAGUGCGAGGAAUGAUAGAGGCGGAAAACCGGGAGACAGGCUGCCAAGGGCCCUUACACUGCAGUAGAACACAACUCAAGCCAACCGAAUGGCCGCGCGAAAGCGGCCCCUACGGCCACCGCACCGGUGCCGCGCGGCCAACAACACACACACACACACCCAGGAAAAAACGCGCGCGCGACAGACAACACGAGACGCUAGGCCAAAGGACGCCCAACGACCACCACUACCAAACACGAAACGGCGACCCUAACGUGCUAAAGCCCGACCAAGGAGACCGACUGAAACCAAAGCGAAGAGCGCCCUCUCCACGGACUCCCAAGACCACUCAACAAGGCUAAAACGACCCAACUGCAGCCAGAACGGCCUCAAGUCUCUGCUGUCGACCCGCCUGCUGACAAGCCACUCCUCAGCGGGCGUCGUCUACCUGUCCGCCGCUAGCCGAGCCCGGUGCGGAGGUGCCUGAAACUGGUCAGUGAAGAAGGAAAAAAAGAGGGGAGGGGUGAACGAAGAGAUAUCGACCCCGAAGCGAAGGGGGGAAGGUGGGCGGGAAGCUGUCAGCUAUAAGCUGAAGCUCUACUGAGUGAAAGGCAGAAUGCCUGAAACGAAAGAGCUGAAGCAAUUAAUACUCGCCAUUCCAAUACGGUUGUACGACAGUCGCACAGAACCAGACUUAGAGACUCCGAUCGCUUCGCUCCGUCGUAUCUAAGUCAACAAUUUGACCCAGACAAAGCAAACACCAUUACUUAGCGGAUUGGUAAAUACUAGGUCACCCAUGACGACCAUUUUUACGAUUAUCGUGACAAUAUGUAUACAUUUCCCAGCUACAUAGCUGAGAAGACUUUGUGCCUGAAAACCUUAAGACAGCUAGGCACAUGACGUGGCAUGGAUGGAUCAUUCCUUUUCCUGCACAUAGCACCAGAACAUGUAUACAGCUGUACAUGUGUGUAUGCAUGUCGACCACUGAUCUAUUGGUGCAUGAAUUAUGUUCACGUGAGCAUUUAAAUGCAUGGAAAUUUCCAUGCAUGGCCACUGUGAAGACCAUGCAUGACCAACGGGAGGGGUGGAUAAGUCUGCCGCCCAUUGGUGCACAUGCGGUGUAGAUACUCCAGGGGGCUGGGAGCUCCCAGCCCCCUAUGGUGUCUCGAGAGACCAUUUGCACUCCACAAAAACCCUAAGACAUCCCUUCUGAAUAUUGUAUCCAUGCCGCUUAUUGGCUGGUGCUGUCUGUGCUGACUUCAUGACAUGUGCCAAUUUGCUUUUCUGCAUUUGGUUUUCUGCUGACGCAGCAGCAACUGACUCACAAUUGGAGGCCACAAGCACUAUGGCGGCCAAAGGCGGCCACCAGCCCACCACUACCAAGGUGGCGCUCAUUACCACGCUAUCGGGUAUUGCAGGAGUCGCUGUCCUGGUUGCAGUGAUCAUCGUCAGCGUAAAAUUGGCCAGAGCUAGGCGCAAGAUGAGGACAGCACCUGUGAUCAACAUACCAUCACCUGCCCAUCAUGCAGCAGCUCCUGCAUGGACAUAGGCUCUCUCAUACUCACCUAUGUGCUCGGACAAUCAUAACAAAUCACACAUAAGUGCAUACAUCCACUGCAUGCAUCACACACAGGUUUUGGGUAAACAUAAAUGUUUGUGGCGCCAGCAGCGGUAGUAGUAUGUCAUCAUUGCAAAUGUGUACAGUAUGCUCCAUGUAGAUGCAUGCAUAUACAUACACUCUGGGAAAGGUUUUCACCCGUAAAUUCAUGUUUACCCGUAAUCACGUGGUCUUCACAUGUAAUUACCGGCCAAGAAAAUUUGUACACAUGCUUAUUUUUAAGUUGCCAAAGCAUUCCUUUUAUAAGGAAUAACACAGGUGACAUUUUGUUGGUUGCCCGUGCUGGAAGUCAUCCACAGGUUACAUUACCCGUAAUCACAAGGUCUUGACCCGUAAUCCCCCAAGCCGUAAUGCACAGCACCCGUAAAAUUUCACGGGCUUAAUUGCGACGAAGACGUGUUAUGUGUGUGUGUGUGUGUUACAUGGUUGGGGGUGCGUGACCCCAUACCUGUAAGAUUACCCAUACGAGCCGAGGGCCCAAGGGUAAUACUACAACGCCUAAAAGCCACGGAGGAAAGGAAAACACCGCACAUCAGCCCAGACUAGCGUCUAAAGGGGGUAAUUGAGUUUCGGUGAGCCCACAUACGUUCCAAUUUCCUCGCCAGACGUGCGGGUUCCCAUUGCAUGGCCUCCAACAUGCUCUGUUGAUGAUCGAAUCCUUCUUCAGCACGAAUAUCAUUAUAGGCUGGCAUNNNNNNNNNNNNNNNNNNNNNNNNNNNNNNNNNNNNNNNNNNNNNNNNNNNNNNNNNNNNNNNNNNNNNNNNNNNNNNNNNNNNNNNNNNNNNNNNNNNNNNNNNNNNNNNNNNNNNNNNNNNNNNNNNNNNNNNNNNNNNNNGAAACACACAAACGUGGCACAGAUGUGGCCCACCACUACCUGCCUACAUCAAACAAAUCUGCCGUACUCCGAUAGCCAUAUCGGAGUACGACAGCGUCUUGAUGCCCCACGUAAAACACAUAAGAGCCCCGACCCUCGCCCCCAUCUUACCUCCAUUCCCGGCUGGACGUUGGCCCCAUCUUCCGAGGCCUGCUGCACGUGCAGCACAUGGAUGGGAACAUGACAAUUAGCAUCAGGAACAAGAAAGAGGGCAACGGGUAACGAUUCCACAACGAAACGCACAACCGUGGCACAGAUGUGGCCCACCACUACCUGCCUACAUUGGGACAUUGGACAUUGAAGCCAUAAUAGCCAAAGCCGUACAUGAGCGGUUAUGUCAGCCAAUUGCAUGGAAACCUCGUCGGUCGUAAUUUUGUUCAGUAAACCUGACAAGGUUUUAAAUGAUUUCGGCCGACUUUCGGAUAUUGUGGCAUGGACCCACUACAUUGGCGGACCUGGUCGACCAGGUCGAUCAACGUCGGCCUCGGGUAACCUUGCCUAUGUACUUAUUUGUUCAUCAACUAUAUUAUACUUUGUGCUGGAACAAUCGGCGUUCCUUUGGGCCAUGACCAUGACUACCAAUGGUCAUGUUACAUCGGAGCACCAAAACAAGUGGCAAACACCCUAAGUAACCUAAAUUUCACUUAUGAUAAGUUCACCGGCUAUAUUCAUGCUUCCCAAUGUGCUUUCGGGGCUGCACGUCAAAAGUAACCUCGUCCAGACAACCGUCCCGUAGCUGCUGAGCCUUGGGCGCUACACGUCUCUGGACUGCCAAAUGGCCGUAGGUAGGGAGCAAAUCGUAAGGACAAAUAAUGCCUCCCUACACUCAUAUUUGAUGGCAAACAUGUUAACUAACCUCGUCAUAACAUUUCACACACUCAGCGCGCAUAUCUGUGCCUAAUUAUGACACUUUCAAGGUUGCACAUUUAUCAAGCUUCUAGCUGGCGAGUAACCUGUCCAGACAACUGCCCCGUAGCUACCGAGCCUGACGAGUUACACGUCUCCGGACUGCCAUAGGGUUGCAUGGUACACAUGCAUACCCUUGUGCAAGGGUACACAUUUAGUGCUAAACAUACCAUACCAUGCAUUCCACCGAUACCGUGAUAGCGAUGAUAAGCAUGUAUCUCNN
rnacentral:lncRNA from 1 species